CAUGAACGCUGGCGGAUGCUUACACACGCAGUUUAACGGCAGCACGGACUUCGGUCUGGUGGCGAGUGGCGAACGGGUGAGUAAUACAUCGGAACGUGCCCAGUCGUGGGGGAUAACGUAGCGAAAGCUACGCUAAUACCGCAUACGAUCUAAGGAUGAAAGCGGGGGAUCGCAAGACCUCGCGCGAUUGGAGCGGCCGAUGGCAAGAUUAAUGUAGUUGGUAGGGUAAAGGCCUACCAAGCCGACGAUCUGUAGCUGGUCUGAGAGGACGACCAGCCACACUGGGACUAGAGACACGGACCAGACUCCUACGGGAGGCAGCAGUGGGGAAUUUUGGACAAUGGGCGACAAGCCUGAUCCAGACAUUCCGACGUGCAGGAUGAAGGCCCUCGGGUUGUAAACUGCUUUUGUACGGAACGAAAAGGUCCUGGGUUAAUACCUGGUGUGCUCAUGACUGGUACCGAAAGAAUAAAGACACCGGCUAACCUACGUGACCAGACAGACACGCGGUAAUACGUAGGGUAGACAAGCGUUAAUCGGGAAUUACUUGGGCGUAAAGCGUGCGCAGGCGGUGAUGUAAAGACACGAAGGUGCACAUCCCCCGGGGCCUUCAAACCUGGGGGACACUGCCUUUAGUCGACUUGCACUCGCAUCGCGAGUACGGGAACCACAGGGGGAUGGAAUUACCCGCAGGUGGUAACACGUUGCAACACUGCGUACAUAUUCACGGACGGACACACACGAUGGCGCAAGGGCGAAAC
rnacentral:rRNA from 1 species